rnacentral:lncRNA from 1 species
GUGUGUAGCUCCGCCUUUAAGUCCUCGACUUAUUACGUCAAAAUUCACCUUAUUCAAGCUAAUAGCUCUCCCAAUAUUACAAAAAUCCUAAACAACCCCAAUAUGCCAACUUCUGAUACCUCUUUAUACUAAUGAUCAAAUAUCCUCUAUCCGUAUCGUUAGAUUAAUGAAAAAAAUUGCAAGCACUUGGCAUACUCAACCAUCUAUAUACC